GGGAGGGGGGGCAAGCGUUGUUCGGAAUUACUGGGCGUAAAGGCGCGUAGGGCGGUAUGCCAUGUCAGGGGGUGAAAGGGCCUGGGCUCAACCCAGGAACUGCCUUUGAAACUGGCAAACUAGAGUCCGAUAGAGGAUGGCGGAAUUCCCAGUGUAGAGGUGAAAUUCGUAGAUAUUGGGGAGAACACCAGUGGCGAAGGCGGCCAUCUGGAUCGGCACUGACGCUGAGGCGCGAAAGCGUGGGGAGCAAACAGGAUUAGAUACCCUGGUAGUCCACGCCGUAAACGAUGUGUGCUAGACGUUGGGGGUCUUAGACCCUGGGUGUCGUGGCUAACGCGUUAAGCACACCGCCUGGGGAGUACGGCCGCAAGGUUA
rnacentral:rRNA from 1 species